UUGCUCCUGGAUUCAGCGGCGGACGGGUGAGUAAUGCCUAGGAAUCUGCCUGGUAGUGGGGGACAACGUUUCGAAAGGAACGCUAAUACCGCAUACGUCGUACGGGAGAAAGCAGGGGACCUUCGGGCCUUGCGCUAUCAGAUGAGCCUAGGUCGGAUUAGCUAGUUGGUGGGGUAAAGGCCUACCAAGGCGACGAUCCGUAACUGGUCUGAGAGGAUGAUCAGUCACACUGGAACUGAGACACGGUCCAGACUCCUACGGGAGGCAGCAGUGGGGAAUAUUGGACAAUGGGCGAAAGCCUGAUCCAGCCAUGCCGCGUGUGUGAAGAAGGUCUUCGGAUUGUAAAGCACUUUAAGUUGGGAGGAAGGGCAGUAAGUUAAUACCUUGCUGUUUUGACGUUACCAACAGAAUAAGCACCGGCUAACUUCGUGCCAGCAGCCGCGGUAAUACGAAGGGUGCAAGCGUUAAUCGGAAUUACUGGGCGUAAAGCGCGCGUAGGUGGUUUGGUAAGAUGGAUGUGAAAUCCCCGGGCUCAACCUGGGAACUGCAUCCAUAACUGCCUGACUAGAGUACGGUAGAGGGUGGUGGAAUUUCCUGUGUAGCGGUGAAAUGCGUAGAUAUAGGAAGGAGCACCAGUGGCGAAGGCGACCACCUGGACUGAUACUGACACUGAGGUGCGAAAGCGUGGGGAGCAAACAAGUUUGGAUACCCUGGUAGUCCACGCCGUAAACGAUGUCGACUAGCCGUUGGAAUCCUUGAGAUUUUAGUGGCGCAGCUAACGCGAUAAUCGACCGCGUGGGACGCCCGAUGACAAAAAAGU
rnacentral:rRNA from 1 species